rnacentral:rRNA from 1 species
CUACGGGGCGCUCCAGUGGGGAAUAUUGGACAAUGGGCGCAAGCCUGAUCCAGCAAUGCCGCGUGUGUGAAGAAGGCCUUCGGGUUGUAAAGCACUUUUGUUAGGGAGGAAAGUCUGGUAGCUAAUAACUGCUAGAUCUGACGUUACCUAAAGAAUCAGCACCGGCUAACUCUGUGCCAGCAGCCGCGGUAAUACAGAGGGUGCAAGCGUUAAUCGGAAUUACUGGGCGUAAAGGGUCUGUAGGCGGAUUAUUAAGUCGGAUGUGAAAUCCCCGGGCUCAACCUGGGAACGGCAUUCGAUACUGGCAGUCUAGAGUGUGGAAGAGGAGGGGGGAAUUCCUGGUGUAGCAGUGAAAUGCGUAGAGAUCAGGAGGAACAUCGAUGGCGAAGGCAGCUCUCUGGGGCAACACUGACGCUGAGGGACGAAAGCGUGGGGAGCAAACAGGAUUAGAUACCCGGGUAGUC